rnacentral:rRNA from 1 species
CACGUAGGGCGCAAGCGUUGUCCGGAAUUAUUGGGCGUAAAGAGCUCGUAGGCGGUCUGUUGCGUCCGCUGUGAAAACUCGGGGCUUAACCCCGAGCCUGCAGUGGAUACGGGCAGACUAGAGGUAGGUAGGGGGAGAAUGGAAUUCCCGGUGUAGCGGUGAAAUGCGCAGAUAUCGGGAGGAACACCAGUGGCGAAGGCGGUACUCUGGGCCGGAACUGACGCUGAGGAGCGAAAGCGUGGGUAGCAAACAGG